CAGAGAGCUCAGUGCUGCUCUAUCCUUAAUAACCACAGGGUCACCUAGAGACCAACCCCAGAGAGCUCAGGAGAACACAUACAGACACAGGAAUUUGUCUUCAAAACUCAGGCUCCAUUCUACUACCUGUAGCUCUGAGUCUCCUGACUUCAAAACUAACAACGUGGAAUGAUGUUCAUCAAUAUUGAACAUUAACCUCUGUCCUCUUCCCUAUUCCAAAAUAUUAAGGGUUUAUCCUAGAGGUGCAACAUUAUGUGUUGGAAGCACAAAAAACCCUGUUACUUUUGAACUGACAAAGACUUACUUUUCCAAAGUGGCUCAAUUAGUUUCUGCAAGAAAUCAAGUACUUCAUAACUCUCAUUAUCACACAGAAUUAACUCUCUGGAAGUUUGUGGGGAAAAAGAAAAAAAUAAAAAUACCACCUAACAUAUCUUCCUGUA